UCAAGCGAAAAAGAGCACAAGGGGAAUGCCUUGGCACUGGGAGCCGACGAAAGACGUGAUAAGCUGCGAUAAGCCACGGGGAGCCGCAAAUAGGCAUCGAGCCGUGGAUUUCUGAAUGGGGAAACCCAUACGGAGUAAUGUCCGUAUAACGUAUACUGAAUUCAUAGGUAUACGUGGGGAACCGCCCGAACUGAAACAUCUAAGUAGGGCGAGGAAAAGACAUCAACAUGAGAUUCCGCUAGUAGUGGCGAGCGAACGCGGAAGAGGCCAAACCGGGGGUAGUAAUAUCCUCGGGGUUCGGACAGCAAACGCUAUUCCAAAGGUUAGGUGAAGCGCAUGGGAAGGCGCGCCGCAGAGGGUGAGAGCCCCGUAACCGAAAAUCAGAGGAAGGCAGCUGAAUCCAGAGUACCGCCGGACACGUGAAACCCGGUGGGAAGACGGGGGGACCACCCUCCAAGCCUAAAUACUACCCAGUGACCGAUAGUGAAGCAGUACCGUGAGGGAAAGGUGAAAAGAACCCCGUGAGGGGAGUGAAACAGAACCUGAAACCUUGUGCUUACAAACACUCAAAGCACGUUCAAGUGUGAUGAGGUACUUUUUGUAGAACGGUCCGGCGAGUAAAUCUUUGCAGCAUGGUUAAGGUGUAGAAGCACCGGAGCCGCAGGGAAACCGAGUCUGAAUAGGGCGGAAGUUGUAAGGAUUUGACCCGAAACCUGGUGACCUAUCCAUGUCCAGGCUGAAGUGGCAGUAAAAUGCCAUGGAGGGCCGAACCCACGUUCGUUGAAAAGACCGGGGAUGAGGUGUGGAUAGCGGAGAAAUUCCAAUCGAACCAGGAGAUAGCUGGUUCUCCCCGAAAUAGCUUUAGGGCUAGCCUCGGAUUAGAUUAGCGGAGGUAAAGCACUGAAUGGGCUAAGGGCCGAUAAGGUUACUGAACCCUAUCAAACUCUGAAUGCCGCAUAAUCGAUGUCCGGGAGUCAGACAGUGUGAGAUAAGUUUCAUUGUCAAAAGGGAAACAGCCCAGACCUACAGCUAAGGUCCCAAAUAUACGCUAAGUGGAAAACGAUGUGAAGUUGUCCAAACAACCGGGAUGUUGGCUUAGAAGCAGCCACACAUUCAAAGAGUGCGUAAUAGCUCACCGGUCGAAUGACUUUGCGCGGAAGAUAUAACGGGGCUAAGCGUAUAACCGAAGCUUAGGCUGACGAACAAUUAACAAUGUACAAUUGACAAUUGACAAUUAAGGAACGAUAGAACAUGAGCGAGAGCAAUGUUAUACUUGAAAAAAGCAAGGCGUUUGCGGUACGAAUUGUGAAGCUUUAUAAACACCUUAGCGAAAGCCAAAGGGAGUUUAUAUUGUCAAAGCAGGUAGUGCGGAGCGGAACAAGUAUAGGAGCUAAUGUUCGAGAGGCAACCCAAGGUUUCAGCAGGAAAGAUUUCACGGCGAAGAUGAGCAUAGCCUUGAAAGAAGCUGUGGAAACAGAGUAUUGGUUGGAACUGUUGUAUGAAACGGAGUAUUUAACUAAGCCGGAGUACGACAGUAUGCAGCGAGACUGCGGCGAGGUUGCGAGGUUGCUGACAGCAAUCGUGAAGAAUACAAGGGGAAAUCGUUCUUAAUUGUCAAUUGUCAACUGUCAAUUGUUAAUUGUUCGUCGGGGUAGGGGAGCGUUGAAUACGGGGCGAAGCAUUACCGUAAGGAGAUGUGGACUGUAUUCAAGUGAGAAUGCCGGAAUAAGUAGCGCGAAUUAUGUGAGAAUCAUAAUGGCCGAAAAUCUGAGGUUUCCUGGGGAAGGUUCGUCCUCCCAGGGUAAGCCGGAAGCUAAGGCGAGGCCUGACGGCGUAGCCGAUGCACAUACGGUGGAAAUUCCGUAGCCGCCGACAUUUAAGCCACGAGGACACUUGGAAAUAGCCGAACCCCGGCGUUGGUUGACCGGGGCGCAAGGGACCGAAAUUAGAGUAGGGAAGUCGGCGAUGUUCUGAGGCGAGAAAAGCCGUGGUGUAUACUAAGGCGUCCGUACCGCAAACCGACACAGGUAGAUGAGGAGAGAAUCCUAAGGCCAACGGGAGAAGGGUUGUCAAGGAACUCGGCAAAUUAACCCCGUAACUUCGGGAUAAGGGGUGCCCUCGAGAGAGGGCCGCAGUGAAUAGGCCCAAGCGACUGUUUAUCAAAAACACAGGUCUCUGCAAAGUCGAAAGACGACGUAUAGGGGCUGACGCCUGCCCGGUGCCGGAAGGUUAAGAGGAGAUGUUAGGGGCAACCCGAAGCAUUGAAUUGAAGCCCCGGUAAACGGCGGCCGUAACUAUAACGGUCCUAAGGUAGCGAAAUUCCUUGUCAGGUAAGUUCUGACCCGCACGAAUGGCGUAACGAUUUGGGCACUGUCUCGACAGCCCGCCCGGCGAAAUUGUAGUAUUGGUGAAGAUGCCAGUUACCCGCAACUAGACGGAAAGACCCCAUGGAGCUUCACUGUAGCUUGAUACUGGAUUCUGGUACUUCAUGUACAGGAUAGGUGGGAGACUUGGAAGGCAGGGCGCCAGCUUUGCCGGAGUCGUCCUUGGGAUACCACUCUUGAAGUGCCGGAAUUCUAACCUACGACCCUGAAUCGGGUCGGGGGACACUGUCAGGUGGGCAGUUUGACUGGGGCGGUCGCCUCCGAAAGAGUAACGGAGGCGCUCAAAGGUUGGCUCAGUACGGACGGAAAUCGUACGAAGAGCGCAAACGCGUAAGCCAGCUUGACUGCGAGGCCGACGGGCCGAGCAGGUACGAAAGUAGGAGUUAGUGAUCCGGCGGUAGUACGUGGAAAUGCCGUCGCUCAACGGAUAAAAGCUACCCUGGGGAUAACAGGCUGAUCUCCCCCAAGCGUCCACAGCGACGGGGAGGUUUGGCACCUCGAUGUCGGCUCGUCACAUCCUGGGGCUGUAUUCGGUCCCAAGGGUUCGGCUGUUCGCCGAUUAAAGUGGCACGCGAGCUGGGUUCAGAACGUCGUGAGACAGUUCGGUCCCUAUCUAUUGCGGGCGCAGGAGAUUUGAAGGGAGCUGUCCUUAGUACGAGAGGACCGGGAUGGACGCACCUCUGGUGCACCAGUUGUCCUGCCAAGGGCACAGCUGGAUAGCUACGUGCGGACGAGAUAAACGCUGAAAGCAUAUAAGCGUGAAACUUCCCCUGAGAUAAGAUCUCCCACAGCAGAAAUGCUGGACAGACCCCACAAGGACUAUGUGGUUGAUAGGCCGGCGAUGUAAGCGCAGUAAUGUGUUGAGUCUACCGGUACUAAUGGGUCGAGAGCUUGACCU
rnacentral:rRNA from 1 species